GAGAAAUAUUGUCAGUGGGUAUUUGGGCAAGGGAGCACUGUGCAGUGGGAUGUCCCUCCUGGACGUGCCGUGACAUGAAGUCCUGACUACGUCUGGGCUGCAAUUGUUUUGCAAUUGUUUCCCUGUGCUGCGAGAAGGCUUUCUAAAGGUCCCAGUAAGACGUUUUACUCUUACAUCCCCCUUUCCUGAGACUUUUUUUUCAGAUUAACAUGCCCAUCCUUUGCUGUUGCUGCCUCCCAGCUACUUCAGAAGAGCGGGAACCCCUUCCUGUAAAUACAAGGCAGCCCUGUCGAAACAUCGGGGUCUUCAAUAAGGAGGGGACCCUCGUGCUGAAGCUGGUCCAUGUAGAUGCCGUUGACGCCCUGUUCUCCGAUGUCGCCAGCGCCUUCAACAAGCAGCACGAGGAUCACGCUGCCAUGACCGAGGCUGCCCAGAAGCUGAAAGAGGUCUCUGGCUGCUCUCCCACCUCCAGCCUCACAGCCUGCCUAGGGGCUGUGCAGCAGGAGCAGGGUGCCUCCAAGGUGCAGGUGUGCAUGGAGGGCUAUGGCUUUUCCCUCAUUGUGAAGGAGAAUAAAGUGCCUGACAAACUGAAGCAGGUCCAGCAGCAGGUGGGGGAGCUGAGUCGUGCCACGAAGCGUCUCCUUGCUAGGAAAGCUAGACUCCAGGAAAUGAUCUGCUCCAUGCUUCAGAGCCAGACUCAGCUGGAAGAGAAGAUCAAAACCGCAAACCCGGUGUAUCUGGACCAGGUACGGCUAGAGGGUAACCUGAGGGAGAACCUCCAAAAAAUCAGCCUGGCCAAGGAGCUCUCAGAGCAGUAUGAUGAAGGUGCCAGGAGCGUGCUGAGGGAAAUGGCCCAGAUUGCUGGCUUGAUGCUGGAAGCGGCUCCUGAAACAGGGACCAAAUAGAUGCUUGUCACCUGCCCACACCUACAGAGGAGCAGCUGAGAGGACACCUGGGUGGCGUAGAGACU
rnacentral:lncRNA from 1 species